ACACCAUAUUAAAGGAGGGAGUGGCAGAAAACGUGAGGUGGGAAUCAAAUCAUGCUGGGCUUUUUGGCCAGGAAGGCCUGAGGAGAGAAGACACAUAGUCAUGCUGACUAAACCAGAUCACCUAGAAUUACCAAAUGGAAAGAUUGUGCCUGCAGCCUGGCCUGUUGCCCACAGCGGUCUACCUGCCACACUGGGAAAGAUCGAGCAGAGACAGAGAAGAAAAGGAGGCUCCAUUUUUCAGGCUGCUCUCCCGCAGGCUCAUGUUUUGUGUUCAUGCCAGGCAGAGAACACAAAAUGUUCCAAUAAAUAAGUAUCAAAGCAUCUACUUGUUUCCAAAGUUAUUUGGGUCAGCAUUUUCCUCCACCCACCACUUAAAACUGAUUUGUUUCAUACAUUUGAAAUGUAUGAAAAGCCAGAAAUCCAGGACCCACCCUGGCCUGCUCCCUUUUUCUCACCUACUGUGUUAAGAUGUCUACACUUUUACCUCUGCUUGCCUGAUACAACCACCACCAGUCACCUCACAGAAUAACUCACUCCUUAAGAAUCUGAUCAGGAAUCAGCCUUCCCUGAUCACAAACACUGAGUUUAGAAGUCCCUCCACAGUGUCCCCCGUAACCCUGUGCUACCUCACUGCCUCAUAGUUUAGUGCCGUUUGUGUACAUGCCUAUCUUCGUCCAUGGAUCCAGAACAACUUGUAAAAAUGACUGUACUUAUCACCUUCAGUAUUCAAUGACUAAACUAUAAUUUUAACAUAUCUGGCAGAAUGAAUCACUUGGGGAUUUCUGCCAACACUACCAAUAUAUUACUCCUAAUUUGUAAUUAUUACUUAGCAUGGAUUAUAGUACCGGCUGUUGGAGAGCCAAUGUGGCAGACCCUAAGUGGAAUAAAAUGUCAGUAGCAGUCUAGGAGCAUAUAUUUAUUGGAAUAGAUCAUUCAUUCAUUUGUUCAUUAACUAAUUUGUUCAUUAAAUAAACAUUUAUUAAG
rnacentral:lncRNA from 1 species